GAUGAAGAACGUAGUGAAAUGCGAUAAGUAGUGUGAAUUGCAGAAUUCCGUGAAUCAUCGAAUCUUUGAACGCACAUUGCGCCCCCUGGCAUUCCGGGGGGCAUGCCUGUCCGAGCGUCAUUUCUGCCCUCCAGCCCGGCUGGGUGUUGGGCGCUGUCCCCCCGGGGACACGCCCCAAAGGCAGUGGCGGCGCCGCGUCGGGUCCUCGAGCGUAUGGGGCUUUGUCACCCGCUCGGGACGGACUCGUCGGCGCUGGUCUUCCUCCAGGCGACCCUUCGGGGCUCGUCUUCCUUCGGUUGACUUCGGAUCAGGUAGGGUUACCCGCUGAACUUAAGCAUAUCAAUAAGCGGAGGA
rnacentral:misc_RNA from 1 species